AUUGAACGCUGGCGGCGUGCUUAACACAUGCAAGUCGUGCGGUAACAGGCGUAGCAAUACGUGCUGACGAGCGGCGAACGGGUGCGUAAUACAUGGGAAUCUGCCCUUUAGUGGGGAAUAACCCGGCGAAAGCCGGGCUAAUGCCGCAUAAGAUCUUCGGAUGAAAGCGGGGGAUCGUAAGACCUCGCGCUGAUGGAUGAGCCCAUGUCGGAUUAGCUAGNGGUGAGGUAACGGCUCACCAAGGCGACGAUCCGUAGCUGGUCUGAGAGGACGGCCAGCCACACUGGGACUGAGACACGGCCCAGACUCCUACGGGAGGCAGCAGUGGGGAAUAUUGGACAAUGGGCGAAAGCCUGAUCCAGCGACGCCGCGUGUGUGAAGAAGGCCUGCGGGUUGUAAAGCAC
rnacentral:rRNA from 1 species